CUCAGGAUGAACGCUAGCGGCAGGCUUAACACAUGCAAGUCGAGGGGUAUAGUUCUUCGGAGCUAGAGACCGGCGCACGGGUGCGUAACGCGUAUGCAAUCUACCUUUUACAGAGGGAUAGCCCAGAGAAAUUUGGAUUAAUACCUCAUAGUAUUUUCGAAUCGCAUGGUUUGAUUAUUAAAGUUCCAACGGUAAAAGAUGAGUAUGCGUCCCAUUAGCUAGAUGGUAAGGUAACGGCUUACCAUGGCAACGAUGGGUAGGGGUCCUGAGAGGGAGAUCCCCCACACUGGUACUGAGACACGGACCAGACUCCUACGGGAGGCAGCAGUGAGGAAUAUUGGACAAUGGGCGCAAGCCUGAUCCAGCCAUGCCACGUGCAGGAAGACGGUCCUAUGGAUUGUAAACUGCUUUUAUACAGGAAGAAACACACCCUCGUGAGGGUACUUGACGGUACUGUAUGAAUAAGCAUCGGCUAACUCCGUG
rnacentral:rRNA from 1 species